rnacentral:rRNA from 1 species
UAGGGAAUAUUGGACAAUGGGGGCAACCCUGAUCCAGCCAUGCCGCGUGAGUGAAGAAGGCCCUCGGGUUGUAAAGCUCUUUUGUCCGGAAAGAAAAGCUUCGGGUUAAUACCCCGGGGUUCUGACGGUACCGGAAGAAUAAGCACCGGCUAACUACGUGCCAGCAGCCGCGGUAAUACGUAGGGUGCGAGCGUUAAUCGGAAUUACUGGGCGUAAAGCGUGCGCAGGCGGUUUUGUAAGACAGAUGUGAAAUCCCCGGGCUUAACCUGGGAACUGCGUUUGUGACUGCAAGGCUGGAGUACGGCAGAGGGGGGUGGAAUUCCACGUGUAGCAGUGAAAUGCGUAGAGAUGUGGAGGAACACCGAUGGCGAAGGCAGCCCCCUGGGCCUGUACUGACGCUCAUGCACGAAAGCGUGGGGAGCAAACA